rnacentral:lncRNA from 1 species
UUCGAACGCACUAAAAUUUUAUAUAAAAAAUGAUAUCCGGCUCAAGAGUUGUCAAAUUCUAGAUAGUUCCAAUUUAAACAAAUCAUUAAUUUUGGCAUGUCUGAAAACUAGGACCCACCAUUUGAGAAAUAUUAGCAUGAAAACCAACAGUAAUAGAGGACACCUCUCGAGCAUGUAGUAAACUUGGAGAGGAAGCAUCGUCCCCCAUAAGUUGUCGUUUCUUAGAUUCAUCAAUCAGAACAACCAUUUCUUCAUCCGAACUAAUUUGUAACAUUGAAUUAUCCUCAACACACAUAGGCUUUGUACCAAUCCCAUGAAAAGCUCAGGCAGCAUCUUCACCAGUGAAAAAGGAACCAGUGCUGUCCCGUAGCCAUUGGUUAUGCUCACCUCUGUUUGUCUUGCCAUCGGCCUUAGCCAAGGACCCCAUCAUUUCGGCUCAAUCAAACUAACUACAUCAAAUAGCCUGUUAUAGAAUUUUUCAUUAUGGCCCAGUCUAGCACACAGAAAGCAAAAAAUUAACAACCUUUCGUAUUUAAAGUGCACAAUAAAGGAUUGAUUGGCAUGUAUGACCACACGCUUUGACAUCUUAAGUGGCAACUGCACAUUAAUUUCUACCCUGAUCGGCAUGAAGCUCCGACAGCUUCCAGUAACAACAGUUGUAUCAUAAUCCACAUAUUGACCCACAAAGUUGCCCAACAGUUGCAUCGUUGAAGAUGUCAUAUAGCCGGGGGCAAAUUGUGAAUUUGGGUCCAAAAGAGGGAUGAGUAUAGAGGAGCUUCCAUCGGAAUCUCACCUGGCUGUAGUAGAUGAGUCACCUGCAGGUGAUUACUAAAGGACCAAGGACCACCCUCGAUGACUCGUUGCAAGUCGAAAUGGUGAAAGAGCUGAAUCCAAUAGAGUUUCGACCCCAAUUCCUCGAAAAAAAACUCCUAGCACGGGACGCCAUAAAUUCGACAGUGUGGCCUUUAGAGCAUCGAAAUUAAUUUGGCGAUCCAUCAUGAUCUUGUCGAUGAGAGUAAACGCUGGAUUUUCAAUCGAAGCAACAGAGUCAUCAUCUCCAGCCGCAGCUCUAUAUCUUCGCCAUCUAGGAUUAGAUUAGCAAAAGACUUCAUCACAGAGAGAGGCUCGUUACAGAGAAUGAGAGGGAAACAUUUCCAACACAGAAGACUAAAUUUAAUAGUAGCUUAGUUUAGUGAAACUUACGUAAUAUUUUUUAUAAACACUAAUAAUUUUAAUUCGGCUUAAUUUAUGAUUUUUCUAUUAGCACAUUGUUGAAUUUUUUAAAAAUAUAUAUUGUAUGAUGUAUAAUUAAC